ACCUGGCUGGCUCAGUGUAGAGCAUGGAACUCCUGAUGUCAGGGUCAUGAGUUCAAGCCCCAUGCUGGGUU
rfam:Felis catus isolate Cinnamon breed Abyssinian chromosome E1, whole genome shotgun sequence.